CCGGGUGUCCUAUAAGUAACACAACGCAGGUAGGCAAGAUCGAUCGAAGCAAAACCAAAGCACUUGCCGUCGUCGCAAACUCAUCGACCGACCGAUCGAUCAACCAGACGGUGGCAGCGCGUGCCUGCCGGAUCGGAGCCUGCGACCUGCGUGCGCGAUGGCCGUGCAGCUGCGGCGGCGCCCCGGCCUCCUGGCGCUCGCCGUGGCGCUCUUGCUGGCGGCCACGGGCGGCUGCCUCUGCCGGAGCGUUCCGUCCGGGGUGCCGGCGCGCGCCCUCCUGUGAUCCUGUCGACGCCGCCGGCAACACCGGACACCCCAGCUCCUCCUCCGUUCCAUUUCCCCCCGGCCGAUCUGCCGCCUCUGCCCUUCGCGCUGCCCAUCUGAAGGUUGCUCCGGCGGCACCGGCGGCCGCUUGCCAUGAUUUUCACGGCCACCAUGCAUCAACAGCGGGUAGCGAUCCCGCAUGUACUACGGAUCAUUGAUGAAUGUGAUGGUCACUGAUGGAGCAGCCUAAUCAGUAAUAAUCACACAUCUUUCAUGCACACCAGUAAAUAAAAGGGAAAUAAAUUAUCUCCAGCCGACCAGUUUCGGCUUUACCAGGAUGCACGUAAUAGGAGAGCUUGAAGGCCGUGUGCAUUCGAUACGUAUUUGAUUUGUUUGAAAUAAUCGAGAUUUGAAUAUAAAGAUCGAGACUCAAGAUGUAUCGUGUGA